CCAGCAAUGGGAGCGGCGGACGGGUGAAUAACGCGUGGGAAUAUGCCCUUUGGUACGGAACAACUCAGGGAAACUUGAGCUAAUACCGUAUGAGCCGGUAACGGGAAAGAUUUAUCGCCAAAGGAUUAGCCCGCGUCCGAUUAGCUUGUUGGUGAGGUAAUGGCUCACCAAGGCACCAAUCGGUAGCUGGUCUGAGAGGACGACCAGCCACACUGGGACUGAGACACGGCCCAGACUCCUACGGGAGGCAGCAGUGGGGAAUCUUGGACAAUGGGGGAAACCCUGAUCCAGCCAUGCCGCGUGAGUGAUGAAGGCCUUAGGG
rnacentral:rRNA from 1 species